AUUCGGUAAGCAGCUUCAUUUGGCUACAAAUCAGGCCCGGUCUCACUCAACGUUAACGGCUUAAUCAAGUCAUAGGAUACGUUCAACGAGUUUGUCCGUCGUUUCUCGAACGUUGUACACCGUUGCGCUGCUCAAACAGUAGCAAAGGCACUGGCAGCCACCUAAAAAGGACCCAGCAGCGGAAUGGCGAUGUGUUAUUACGAAGAAAGUGGAAGUUAGACGGCAGGAUUGGAAUGGAGGGGCGUGAAGCCACACGAAGGGGCAAGAAGAAAUUUCAGCCUGUUCCAAAUUACAGUCAUCAGCGUUACGGAUGGUAGACUACAACGGUUCCACCAACUGUGUGAUGUUACGUUUCACGAAUUAUUGCGACUUGAACGGCGACUGCGUUGACGACGACCAUGGUCAUUUUUAGAGUGCAUAAAUACGCACGACCAAACAUCGUAUGAUCUCAACAGUUACGACUCUGCUCCCAUACGGUAUUCAGCUCGGUGUUGAAGUAGUGACAAUGCACACGUAUUGGCACCGUCCACGCUUUCAGCUCGCUCGUUGUUGCCAAUCCACACGCGGUGAUUGAUUUGUUAACAGUCGACCUGAUUGACAGUUGUCCAAGGUUACGGUAACGGGGUCUUGCGUCGAGCCGUUGUUCUACUUUCUUCAGUGGAGAUUUCCGCCUCGGUUAUCGAUGUCGCAGUUGCUGAUGCACAUGGCCAUACAUCGGGGCACUUUCUGCAACCGUUAAGCUUAAGAAAUUGCAGUUUUCACCACAGCGAAAAAGACCACUACACACUUCAGCUAUGCACUUUAGACAUUCCCUGUUUAUACUUCGUAUAUAUACAUAUAUAAAAUGCCAAUAAAUGACAAAUAUCUUUUAGUCAUCAGCAGAUAGCUACCAUUAGAAAAUUAACUGCAUUUUAUUGGUUCAAAUCAAGAUACUGUACAUGAUUUUGUCCUUUUCGUAAGAUAUGGUUGAGGCCUGAGAUAAGGCUUUGUGUAGAAUGUCCAGCACAACAAAGGAGGACACCUAAGGAUGUGGUUGUAUAAUGGGUCGACAGAUAAGGCCUUCAGUUUACGGUGCUGGCAAAGUUAUGGCAGAUGAUUUAUGAAUCAAAGGACAAAGCCUACGUAAAGGCAAGAGUGUGCCACCCAUGACGGAGGGCAUCGUUUGGCCGUAACUCAUCGUAUACUCUAAAUGAGUUUGAAACUCUUUCCGUGUUUAACAAAGUGAUAUGCAUCGAAACGUGUUACUGUCGUAUGUACCUCAAGAUCUUUGUUAAUAGAAGUGUACUGUUCAGCCAUUAACCAAAACCAUGGUCCUGAAGUACUUAUGACAUCUCGUGAAAAGUCCUGUGCGAG